CCAGAAUCCCAUCAAGUCAUAUUUUAUUCCAAGUAGAAGAUCAACAUCACAUCAGAUGAUGAAAUUGAGACUUUUCACCAUGCGAUGGAAAAUAUGAGCUGAUAGUGAAUCAGCAACAUGUUUGGAAAAAUGUUAAAAUGUUCUU